rnacentral:sRNA from 1 species
CCCUAGGAGUGUCACAUCAAACGAAAGUAGUAUAUUCAUUCUUUUGAAUUACAAAAUCGGACACGUUGAACAGGGAA